rnacentral:rRNA from 1 species
UACGUAGGGGGCUAGCGUUGUCCGGAAUCAUUGGGCGUAAAGCGCGUGUAGGCGGCCCGGUAAGUCCGCUGUGAAAGUCGGGGGCUCAACCCUCGAAUGCCGGUGGAUACUGUCGGGCUCGAGUGCGGAAGAGGCGAGUGGAAUUCCUGGUGUAGCGGUGAAAUGCGCAGAUAUCAGGAGGAACACCGAUUGCGAAGGCAGCUCGCUGGGACGUUACUGACGCUGAGACGCGAAACUGGGGGAGCAAAACAGG